rnacentral:lncRNA from 1 species
GUCAGCAAACAGCGGCUGUUGGAGGAGCAGCAGGCGCUCUUCUCUCCUGUUACUGUAACACGAGGGUUAAGGACAGAACAGAACGGGUCCGGUCCUGGGUUUGUGGCCUCAGCUCCUGCAAACGUGAAACAGGAGACGUGUGGGUGUGAGUGCGUGGUGGUUGAACUUGUGCAGCGGCCGUGCAGCUCGUGUGUUUGCUGCUCUGUUGUCCACUGGGCCCAGAGACCCCCCCCCCUCCCAGCGCUGCUCACUGCGUUGUCCACUGGGCCCAGAGACCCCCCCCCCCCCUCCCAGCGCGCUCACUGCGUUGUCCACUGGGCCCAGAGACCCCCCUCCCAGCGCGCUCAUUGCGUUGUCCACUGGGCCCAGAGACCCCCCCCCCCCUCCCAGCGCGCUCACUGCGUUGUCCACUGGGCCCAGACCCCCCCCCCCCUCCCAGCGCGCUCACUGCGUUGUCCACUGGGCCCAGACCCCCCCCCCCCCCCCCCCAGCGCUGCUCACUGCGUUGUACACUGGGCCCAGAGACCCCCCCCCCCUCCCAGCGCGCUCACUGCGUUGUCCACUGGGCCCAGACCCCCCCCCUCCCAGCGCGCUCAUUGCGUUGUCCACUGGGCCCAGAGACCCCCCCCCCCCCCCCUCCCAGCGCGCUCACUGCGUUUGUCCACUGGGCCCAGACCCCCCCCCCCCCUCCCAGCGCGCUCACUGCGUUGUCCACUGGCCCCAGACCCCCCCCCCCCCUCCCAGCGCGCUCACUGCGUUGUCCACUGGGCCCAGACCCCCCCCCCCCCCCUCCCAGCGCGCUCACUGCGUUGGACUCCGGAGCGUCACCGCGGCCUGACGCACCGUUGUACCAGAGCGCAGCUGUCACCAUUACUUCAUGCUUAUUGGCCCAAACCCGAGAGAGGCAGAGGCAAAGCGAAGGCAAACAACGGGGAGAGAGAGGGGGAGAGGGCGAGCGAGAGAGAGAGAGAGAGCGCGAGCGAGCGAGCGAGCGGAGUUGGACUCCUGCGCUCUGCUCCAUCGAUCUGGAGGCGCACAGAGGAUCUUCUACCGGACUCUGGACACAGUGACGGAGCUUUGGGCUUAUUUUAA